rnacentral:ribozyme from 1 species
AUCAAAGAAGUGCAUGCGCCAACUGUCUGGUCCUUUGUAAUUAAGAAUCCUGACGCAAGUUUCCAGGAUCUCCCAGAUACCGUACCAAAAAGACUUGGGCCAUUACUUGAAAAACACUUC